UACGUAGGGGCUAGCGUUAUCCGGAAUUACUGGGCGUAAAGGGAGCGUAGGCGGACUUUUAAGUGAGAUGUGAAAUACCCGGGCUCAACUUGGGUGCUGCAUUUCAAACUGGAAGUCUAGAGUGCAGGAGAGGAGAAUGGAAUUCCUAGUGUAGCGGUGAAAUGCGUAGAGAUUAGGAAGAACACCAGUGGCGAAGGCGAUUCUCUGGACUGUAACUGACGCUGAGGCUCGAAAGCGUGGGGAGCAAACAGGAUUAGAUACCCUGGUA
rnacentral:rRNA from 1 species